ACCAGGAUGGCCUAGUGGUUAAGGCGUUGGACUUAAGAUCCUCAUCUGGGUCUGAACCCCACUCCUGGUA
rnacentral:tRNA from 1 species